rnacentral:rRNA from 1 species
AGUGAACGCUGGCGGCAGGCCUAACACAUGCAAGUCGAGCGGCAGCGGGUCCUUCGGGAUGCCGGCGAGCGGCGGACGGGUGAGGAAUGCAUCGGAAUCUGCCUCGUUGUGGGGGAUAACGUAGGGAAACUUACGCUAAUACCGCAUACGACCUACGGGUGAAAGUGGGGGACCGCAAGGCCUCACGCGAUGAGAUGAGCCGAUGCCGGAUUAGCUAGUUGGCGGGGUAAAGGCCCACCAAGGCGACGAUCCGUAGCUGGUCUGAGAGGAUGAUCAGCCACACUGGAACUGAGACACGGUCCAGACUCCUACGGGAGGCAGCAGUGGGGAAUAUUGGACAAUGGGGGCAACCCUGAUCCAGCCAUGCCGCGUGUGUGAAGAAGGCCUUCGGGUUGUAAAGCACUUUUGUUGGGGAAGAAACCGGCCGGGUUAAUACCCUGGUUGAAUGACGGUACCCAAAGAAUAAGCACCGGCUAACUUCGUG